rnacentral:lncRNA from 1 species
AGUUCGGCCCCGGCUGCUCCAACGGUGGGAUCCUUUAGUCGAAUUUAUAGCAUUCUAUGGGAAGCAUUUGGCUGCUUAUGAAGUAGUAGCAUUCAUCGAGAGGGUGGAAGACAUCCCCCCGUUUGUCUUCCUGUGUCUGGCGGGCUUCAAGUAUAAGAUCUCCAUUCAGAAGCAUGGCUUCUCUAUUCGGUAAGUUGGGCAAGAGGAGGUGCUGGAGGUCGACUCGGAGCUGAGCAACUGCCAUAAUGAGCAAGAAACAAAAGCUGGUGCAGCUACAGGUAGUGGUGGUGGAGCACAGUGAUCGUUUGAAAGUAAAAACUCUGGCUUAGAAUGUGGACAAUUGCGAAGCUUCUUUGGCUUUGGAUGCGAUUAAGGAAUCUGGAAUCUAGAGAAGAUUGAUAUAGGGUUGAAGGGGAUUUUGAUGAUCAGCAUAUUGUCUCAAAGCUCCUGCGGAGUGACAUGCAGCCGUUGGGAAGACAACGCGGUUUUGCCAAGGAAUCCUCGUGUUGCCAUGCAAAACUAGAUUUUUCACUAGCACCCUCAACAACAAUAUCAAAAGAAUCCUAAUGUUGACAAACCCAAAUUUCGAAUUGAAAAUUUCACACACUAUUGUCUCCGCAAACAUAAAUAAAAUCUAUUAUUUUGAUCCAAAGAUGAUAAGUAAAAUUAUCAAAGAUUUCACCAACAUGAAUACUCUACAACCUCAAAAUAAAAUCAACUCCAAUGAGAAAAUAUGCCAAUAUGCAAUAUCUUCAAGCACAUUUUCCUCUUACAUGCCAUUUUCAUGCAUGAUCCAGAAUAUGCUAAUUAGAUAUCAUAAAAAAUCUUUAUU